rnacentral:rRNA from 1 species
AUUGAACGCUGGCGGCAGGCCUAACACAUGCAAGUCGAGCGAGCGGCGGACGGGUGAGUAAUGUAUGGGGACUGCCCGAUAGAGGGGGAUAACUACUGGAAACGGUGGCUAAUACCGCAUACUAUCGGAUAACCCAUAUGGGAUUAGCUAGUAGGUGGGGUAAAGGCUCACCUAGGCGACGAUCUCUAGCUGGUCUGAGAGGAUGUUCAGCCACACGGGGGCUGGGAAACGGCCCAAACUCCUACGGAGGCAGCAGUGGGGAGUAUUGCACAAUGGGCGCAAGCCUGAUGCAGCCAUGCGGCGUGUAUGAAGAAAGCCUUAGGGUUGUAGAGUACUAUCAGCGGGGGAGCGUUACCCGCAGAAGAAGCACCGGCUAACUCCGUGCCAGCAGCCGCGGUGAUUC